rnacentral:rRNA from 1 species
UACGGGGGGAGCAAGCGUUGUUCGGAUUUACUGGGCGUAAAGGGCGCGUAGGCGGCGUGACAAGUCACUUGUGAAAUCUCCGGGCUUAACUCGGAGCGGCCAAGUGAUACUGUCGUGCUAGAGUGCGGAAGGGGCUACUGGAAUUCUCGGUGUAGCGGUGAAAUGCGCAGAUAUCAGGAGGAACACCAGCGGCGAAGGCGGCGCUCUGGGCCGGUACUGACACUGAGGCGCGAAGGCGUGGGAGCGAACGGG